CCUACGGGUGGCAGCAGUGGGGAAUAUUGCACAAUGGGGGAAACCCUGAUGCAGCGACGCCGCGUGAGUGAAGAAGUAUUUCGGUAUGGAAAGCUCUAUCAGCAGGGAAGAAGCAAGACGGAACCUUACUAAUAAGCCCCUGCUAACUACGUGCCAGCAGCCGCGGUAAUACCCAGGGGGCAAGCGUUAUCCGGAUUUACUGGGUGUAAAGGGAGCGUAGACGGUAUGGCAAGUCUGAAGUGAAAGCCCAGGGCUUAACCCUGGGACUGCUUUGGAAACUGUUAGACUAGAGUGCUGGAGAGGUAAGUGGAAUUCGUGGUGUAGCGGUGAAAUGCGUAGAUAUUAGGAAGAACAC
rnacentral:rRNA from 1 species